rnacentral:rRNA from 1 species
UACGUAGGGUGCAAGCGUUAAUCGGAAUUACUGGGCGUAAAGCGUGCGCAGGCGGUUUUGUAAGCCUGACGUGAAAUCCCCGGGCUCAACCUGGGAAUUGCGUUGGAGACUGCAAGGCUGGAGUCUGGCAGAGGGGGGUAGAAUUCCACGUGUAGCAGUGAAAUGCGUAGAGAUGUGGAGGAACACCGAUGGCGAAGGCAGCCCCCUGGGUCAAGACUGACGCUCAUGCACGAAAGGCGUGGGGAGCAAACAGG